GACGAACGCUGGCGGCGUGCCUAAUACAUGCAAGUCGAACGCUUUUUCUUUCACCGGAGCUUGCUCCACCGAAAGAAAAAGAGUGGCGGACGGGUGAGUAACACGUGGGUAACCUGCCCGUCAGAAGGGGAUAACACUUGGAAACAGGUGCUAAUACCGUAUAACACUAUUUUCCGCAUGGAAGAAAGUUGAAAGGCGCUUUUGCGUCACUGAUGGAUGGACCCGCGGUGCAUUAGCUAGUUGGUGAGGUAACGGCUCACCAAGGCAACGAUGCAUAGCCGACCUGAGAGGGUGAUCGGCCACACUGGGACUGAGACACGGCCCAGACUCCUACGGGAGGCAGCAGUAGGGAAUCUUCGGCAAUGGACGAAAGUCUGACCGAGCAACGCCGCGUGAGUGAAGAAGGUUUUCGGAUCGUAAAACUCUGUUGUUAGAGAAGAACAAGGAUGAGAGUAAAACGUUCAUCCCUUGACGGUAUCUAACCAGAAAACCACGGCUAACUACGUGCCAGCCGCCGCCGUAA
rnacentral:rRNA from 1 species